UACGAAGGGGGCUAGCGUUGUUCGGAUUUACUGGGCGUAAAGCGCACGUAGGCGGAUCGUUAAGUCGGGGGUGAAAUCCUGGAGCUCAACUCCAGAACUGCCUUCGAUACUGGCGAUCUUGAGUCCGGAAGAGGUGAGUGGAACUCCUAGUGUAGAGGUGGAAUUCGUAGAGAUCGUAAGGAAGACCAGUGGCGAAGGCGAGUCUCUGGACAGUUACUGACACUGAGGCACGAAGGCCAGGGGAGCAAACGGG
rnacentral:rRNA from 1 species